CCUACGGGAGGCAGCAGUGAGGAAUAUUGGUCAAUGGACGAGAGUCUGAACCAGCCAAGUAGCGUGAAGGAUGACUGCCCUAUGGGUUGUAAACUUCUUUUAUAUGGGAAUAAAACGCUCCACGUGUGGGAUUUUGUACGUACCAUAUGAAUAAGGAUCGGCUAACUCCGUGCCAGCAGCCGCGGUAAUACGGAGGAACCGAGCGUUAUCCGGAUUUAUUGGGUUUAAAGGGAGCGUAGGUGGAUUGUUAAGUCAGUUGUGAAAGUUUGCGGCUCAACCGUAAAAUUGCAGUUGAAACUGGCAGUCUUGAGUACAGUAGAGGUGGGCGGAAUUCGUGGUGUAGCGGUGAAAUGCUUAGAUAUCACGAAGAACUCCGAUUGCGAAGGCAGUUCACUGGACUGCAACUGACGCUGAGGCUCGAAAGUGUGGGUAUCAAACAGGAUUAGAUACCCUUGUAGUC
rnacentral:rRNA from 1 species